rnacentral:rRNA from 1 species
AGUGGCGAACGGGUGAGUAACGCGUGAGGAACCUGCCUCAAAGAGGGGGACAACAGUUGGAAACGACUGCUAAUACCGCAUAAGCCCACGGUGCCGCAUGGCACAGAGGGAAAAGGAGCAAUCCGCUUUGAGAUGGCCUCGCGUCCGAUUAGCUAGUUGGUGAGGUAAUGGCCCACCAAGGCAACGAUCGGUAGCCGGACUGAGAGGUUGAACGGCCACAUUGGGACUGAGACACGGCCCAGACUCCUACGGGAGGCAGCAGUGGGGAAUAUUGCACAAUGGGGGAAACCCUGAUGCAGCGACGCCGCGUGGAGGAAGAAGGUCUUCGGAUUGUAAACUCCUGUUGUUGGGGAAGAUAAUGGCGGUACCCAACAAGGAAGUGACGGCUAACUACGUGCCAGCAGCCGCGGUAAAACGUAGGUCACAAGCGUUGUCCGGAAUUACUGGGUGUAAAGGGAGCGCAGGCGGGAAGACAAGUUGGAAGUGAAAUCUAUGGGCUCAACCCAUAAACUGCUUUCAAAACUGUUUUUCUUGAGUAGUGCAGAGGUAGGCGGAAUUCCCGGUGUAGCGGUGGAAUGCGUAGAUAUCGGGAGGAACACCAGUGGCGAAGGCGGCCUACUGGGCACCAACUGACGCUGAGGCUCGAAAGUGUGGGUAGCAAACAAGAUUAGAUACCCUGGUAGUCCACACCGUAAACGAUGAUUACUAGGUGUUGGGGGAUUGACCCCUUCAGUGCCGCAGUUAACACAAUAAGUAAUCCACCUGGGGAGUACGACCGCAAGGUUGAAACUCAAAGGAAUUGACGGGGGCCCGCACAAGCAGUGGAGUAUGUGGUUUAAUUCGACGCAACGCGAAGAACCUUACCAAGUCUUGACAUCCCUUGACGAUGCUGGAAACAGUAUUUCUCUUCGGAGCAAGGAGACAGGUGGUGCAUGGUUGUCGUCAGCUCGUGUCGUGAGAUGUUGGGUUAAGUCCCGCAACGAGCGCAACCCCUGCCAUUAGUUGCUACGCAAGAGCACUCUAAUGGGACCGCUACCGACAAGGUGGAGGAAGGUGGGGACGACGUCAAAUCAUCAUGCCCCUUAUGACCUGGGCUACACACGUAAUACAAUGGCCGUCAACAACGGGAAGCGAAACCGCGAGGUGGAGCGAAACCUAAAAAACGGUCUCAGUUCGGAUCGCAGGCUGCAACCCGACCCCACGAAGCUGGAUUAAAAAGUAAUCGCGCAUCAGCCAUGGCGCGGUGAAUA